UUUUGUUGCCAUGAUUUCUAAAAUGUAUGGAAUGGCAUCCAGAUGAGAUAAUCAUCACGACAGCAAUCUGCCAGAAAGCCAAACAGGAAGCUGUGUGGGUCCAACAGUUCCCCGGCUGUGUGGAGACAUUGUGGACUGCCCAGCACCAGAGGUCUGAACAGAUGGAUUUGGUGGGGUGCACCGGAAGGUUUUUGGGGAGAGCGCUGUCCUGAUGUUCACGGCUAGUUGACUCAACCACUGGGGGGCUUGCUGACAAGACCAGAGGAAAUGGGGACACAGCAAAAGCAAAA